AUUCCCCUAGUAACUGCGAGUGAAGCGGGAAAAGCUCAAAUUUGAAAUCUGGCAGGUCUUGAACUUGUCCGAGUUGUAAUCUAGAGAAGUGUUACCUGUGCUGGACCGUGUACAAGUCUCCUGGAAUGGAGCGUCACAGAGGGUGAGAAUCCCGUCUUUGACACGGACUGCCUGCACGUUAUGGUGCGCUCUCAAAGAGUCGAGUUGUUUGGGAAUGCAGCUCAAAAUGGGUGGUAAAUGCCAUCUAAAGCUAAAUAUUGGCGAGAGACCGAUAGCGAACAAGUACCGUGAGGGAAAGAUGAAAAGUACUUUGGAAAGAGAGUUAAACAGUACGUGAAAUUGCUGAAAGGGAAACGCUUGAAGUCAGUCGCGUUGGCUGGAAAUCAACCUUGCUUUUGCUUGGUGUACUUUCUGGUCGACGGGUCAGCAUCAAUUUUGACCGCUGGAUAAAGUCUUUGGGAAUGUGGCAUCUUAGGAUGUGUUAUAGCCCAUUGUCGCAUACAACGGUUGGGAUUGAGGAACUCAGCACGCCCGCAAGGGACAGGUUUUUUGACCAUGUUUUCGUGCUUAGGAUGCUGGCAUAAUGGCUUUAAUCGACCCGUC
rnacentral:rRNA from 1 species